AUGAAUAAGACAUUUAUAUAGCACUGAAUUGUGUAUUCCUUUACACCUAAAGUGCUUUAUAAUCAUAUGUGGGGGAGUCUACUUUUUGGCCCCUGGACUUUCCACCUCUGGUCAAAUAAAUGUGGAACAAGUUUGUUUUGACCUGUUUUUGGAAAGUUGUUAAGGAUGCUGCAGUUCGGGUGGAGGCUGGCAGUUCAUUCCACCACAGUAGAACCGAUUGAGUAAAGGUUUUUGCAAGCGAUUUGGUGCCUCGAGGAACAACCAGGCCCGCUCAUUUUCAGACUGAAGAUGAUGAGAGGGGAUGUAGACCUGGAGCAAUUAGUUAAGGACUUGACUGCAUUGUUUGGAAGGCCGGCCAGAAGAUUAUUGUUCAGUGCAGCGUCAAGGCUCAGGUGGUGGUUCAGGGGAGCCACGGUGUGCCAGUCCGGGAGAGCGACAUAGUGCCGGUCCGGGUGAGCCGUGGUGUCCAUGCCGUUUAUUACGGCUGCGGGACUUUGUGGGGGACUAUGGCUUGAUGUUAGGGUAAGUCAGGAUGCUCAACAUGCCUGCCGAUGUGAUCAGAUGGUGACAGGGUAGUGUGAACUGACGGAACUGAGGUUACGUCCGUAACCAAGACGUUCCCUUUCUGUCGGUCUCUUGACAUUGUGUCGACAGAAUGGGGUCCUUAUAUGAAACGCCACAGCACUGAGCCGAGUCACGACUUCCAGCAGAGUGACACUGACUGGCCUGGGUGAUUCACAAGUGAGCAUAACCGCAAAUCGUAACCCUCCAGUCGUGUAAUAAGGUAUCGGUUCUCGUGACGAGAGCCUCUUACCUAUGGCCAUACAGGUAGUGGCCUUUCCUACUCUAGAGACGAGAUAGCUGCCCGGCACCAGAAGGAACAGUGGGAAGUGCUACCCCCUAGCAGACUGUAAAUAUACAAUUGUAUAAUUACUGUAGAAAAAAGCUUCUCUUACUGCCUGUAGAAGCACUAUUUUAGGAAACGCUCCACAUGGUCGUAUAUGGGGAAUGUUGUGAACAACCAACGUGGUUGCAUAAGUUGGAGGACUUGUUGAAUAGUCAGUGGUAUCCCCAGAAUAUGUCUGUAAAGUUUAAGCUCAAAAUACACCACAAGUCUUUCAUUACAAUAUGUUGAACAUGGCCAUUUUCUGGCUGCAAUGGAAAACGCACUGUUUUUGUGUGUCUCCUUAAAUGCAAAUGAGCAUCUGCUUCCCCCCUGUAUGCAAAAUGUGGCGUAGAAUAAUUACACAUGUGCUUUGGAAAAUGGCCAACAGCAUGUCUCUGGCGGAAGGUGGAACUACACGCUCAUAAGGCGGAGUCUGUAAGCGGUCAUGGGCAGGUGUCACUGUUGUGGUUUAAAGGAGAUUAAAAAAAGAAGAACAGAUGGAUUUGUAUAAUUACAGGGUUUUUUUGCACACAUGCAAGGGUUUACAAUUUAAAUUUGCUUCAUGCAUGCAAUCAAUGCUUUAUUCGGUUUGAAUCAUUUUCAAUGCAUAGGAAGUGUUUUCAUUUAAUGCUGGGUUGCAUGCAGAGCUUUAAUGUUUGCAUUGGCUCUGUGUUUUGUGCAUAUUGAGAAAUGCAGCGAGGGAGAUCAAUGGCCCAUUUCAAAAAGGUUAAACCAACUCUAGGUUAAACCUUGAACUCAGAGUUGGAUUACUUAAAAGUCAGAAACUUUAGAGUUUUUGGUGUCAGAACAGCUGGUUUGAGUUAGUUCAAUUUAUUCUGGGUAGACUCACCUUGAGUUAAGUGGGUGCACCACGACUAUAAAAAGCCAUCAUCAAAGGAGCUCGGAUGUUACAAUUCACCAUGGCAACAGCACCAAAAAACAACAUGGGGGCAGAAAGCACUUGUGAGCAAGGCAAACUUUCCACUCUGCAUACAGUGGAUUUACAAAUGUGCUGAAAAUGACUUAAAUUUAAAUUAAUAAUACAGAAACAUGAACCAAUAAACAGAUGAAUUAAUCAUUAUAUGAAUGAAACAACAGCAAUAAAAAAAUCUUAUGUUCUCCACGAUUUAAACUUCCAGACAUCAAGAAUCAUCUUAUGAAUCUCAACAUUGGUGACAAAGUUGAGUUGCAUCUUUUCUUCAUGCAGCAAUGCAUGCUGGGAGUCAUGGAGGAGUUCUGUUCUAGGCUAUUACCCACAAUGCAUAGACGCAUAAAGCUUUCUUUUGUUGAGUUUCAUGAGCUGAUUCUUGAUGUCUAAAUUGUUCAGAUGAUAUUUCUACUAUUGUAAUAAUACAAAAUGUUUCACCUCACUGAGUCGUACAAUAAUAAAACACAUAUACAUUUUA